AUGCUAGUGAGAAUGUUAAACAAGCUUCUUAUAGGGAACAAAUCUGAUCUCACUGACAAAAGAGUUGUAUCAUAUGAGACAGCGAAGGCAUUUGCUGAUGAGAUUGGCAUCCCAUUCAUGGAGACCAGUGCAAAGAAUGCCUUGAACGUUGAGCAGGCUUUCAUGGCUAUGUCUGCUUCAAUCAAGGACAGGUGUGUGUUCCCAGACGGUUUAAUUAGCACAGGCCAUCCUACCAGUACACUUUUUUUUAACUACCAUCAUUUUACACUUUAUUUAUUGCUCAUUGAUGCUCUGUUCGUAUAG
rnacentral:rRNA from 1 species